rnacentral:rRNA from 1 species
UACGUAGGGGGCAAGCGUUGUCCGGAUUUAUUGGGCGUAAAGAGCGUGUAGGCGGCCAUACAGGUCCGUUGUGAAAACUCGAGGCUCAACCUCGAGACGCCGAUGGAAACCAUGUGGCUAGAGUCCGGAAGAGGAGAGUGGAAUUCCUGGUGUAGCGGUGAAAUGCGCAGAUAUCAGGAAGAACACCCGUGGCUAAGGCGGCUCUCUAGUACGGUACUGACGCUGAGACGCGAAAGCGUGGGGAGCGAACAGG